rnacentral:tRNA from 1 species
GAGCAGUUGUGCGGCAGGAAAGGACUUUUAAUCCGUUGGUCGAUGUUUCAAAUCCAUCACGGCCCACCA